GAUCGGCUAACUCCGUGCCAGCAGCCGCGGUAAUACGGAGGAUCCGAGCGUUAUCCGGAUUUAUUGGGUUUAAAGGGUGCGUAGGCUGUUUUUUAAGUUAGAGGUGAAAGCUCGACGCUCAACGUCGAAAUUGCCUCUGAUACUGAGAGACUAGAGUGUAGUUGCGGAAGGCGGAAUGUGUGGUGUAGCGGUGAAAUGCUUAGAUAUCACACAGAACACCGAUUGCGAAGGCAGCUUUCCAAGCUAUUACUGACGCUGAGGCACGAAAGCGUGGGGAGCGAACAGGAUUAGAUACCCUGGUAGUCCACGCAGUAAACGAUGAUAACUCGUUGCCGGCGAUACACAGUCGGUGACUUAGCGAAAGCGUUAAGUUAUCCACCUGGGGAGUACGUUCGCAAGAAUGAAACUCAAAGGAAUUGACGGGGGCCCGCACAAGCGGAGGAACAUGUGGUUUAAUUCGAUGAUACGCGAGGAACCUUACCCGGGCUUGAAAGUUAGUGACGGAUGCCGAAAGGUGUCUUCCCUUCGGGGCACGAAACUAGGUGCUGCAUGGUUGUCGUCAGCUCGUGCCGUGAGGUGUCGGGUUAAGUCCCAUAACGAGCGCAACCCCUACCGUUAGUUGCCAUCAGGUCAAGCUGGGCACUCUAGCGGGACUGCCGGUGUAAGCCGAGAGGAAGGUGGGGAUGACGUCAAAUCAGCACGGCCCUUACGUCCGGGGCGACACACGUGUUACAAUGGCCGGUACAGAGGGUAGCUACCUGGUGACAGGAUGCGAAUCUCGAAAGCCGGUCUCAGUUCGGAUUGGAGGCUGAAACUCGCCUCCAUGAAGUUGGAUUCGCUAGUAAUCGCGCAUCAGCCAUGGCGCGGUGAAUACGUUCCCGGGCCUUGUACACACCGCCCGUCAAGCCAUGGGAGUUGGGGGUGCCUGAAGUACGUGACCGCAAGGAGCGUCCUAGGGCAAAACUGAUGACUGGGGCUAAGUCGUAACAAGGUAGCCGUACCGGAAGGUGCGGCUG
rnacentral:rRNA from 1 species